rnacentral:rRNA from 1 species
AGUGAACGCUGGCGGUAGGCCUAACACAUGCAAGUCGAACGGCAGCACAGUAAGAGCUUGCUCUUACGGGUGGCGAGUGGCGGACGGGUGAGGAAUACAUCGGAAUCUACUUUUUCGUGGGGGAUAACGUAGGGAAACUUACGCUAAUACCGCAUACGACCUACGGGUGAAAGCAGGGGAUCUUCGGACCUUGCGCGAUUGAAUGAGCCGAUGUCGGAUUAGCUAGUUGGCGGGGUAAAGGCCCACCAAGGCGACGAUCCGUAGCUGGUCUGAGAGGAUGAUCAGCCACAUUGGAACUGAGACACGGUCCAGACUCCUACGGGAGGCAGCAGUGGGGAAUGUUGGGCAAUGGGCGAAAGCCUGAUCGAGCCAUGCCGCGUGAGUGAUGAAGGCCUUCGGAUUGUAAAACCCUGUUAUUAGGGAAGAACAGCUGUGUAAGUAACUGUGCGUAUCUUGACGGUACCUAAUCAGAAAGCCACGGCUAACUACGUG